rnacentral:hammerhead_ribozyme from 1 species
AUCUAGAUGACGAGUCUCAAAUAGGAUGAAACAUACUUCCUAGAU